rnacentral:lncRNA from 1 species
AUUAUUCUAUAUAACUCACAUAAAAAAUAAGUGAUAUUGUCAUAGAUUAUAGUUAUUACAUAAGGUCCAAUCUAUUUCUUUGCAAACUUCUUUACUAUGCUAUAUUGAUGGAUCAAUCUAUUAUUAUAAAUUAAAAUCUCAUCUCUAACUUCUAUGGAGUUAGGUCUUAACUAGUGUGUUUAUCAAAUCUUUCUUUGUUCUU